rnacentral:ncRNA from 1 species
CCGAGGUGAACUAGCCGAGGCGGGGGCGAGCGAGCUCUGGUGGAGGCUCGAAGCGAUACUGUCGUGCAAAUCGUUCGUCUGACUUGGGUAUAGGGGCGAAAGACUAAUCGAACCAUCUAGUAGCUGGUUCCCUCCGAAGUUUCCCUCAGGAUAGCUGGAGCCCAUUACGAGUUCUAUCAGGUAAAGCCAAUGAUUAGAGGC